GAGUAAUACAUAAGUAACCUGGCAUCUACAGGGGGAUAACUGAUGGAAACGUCAGCUAAGACCGCAUAGGUGUAGAGAUCGCAUGAACUCUAUAUGAAAAGUGCUACGGGACUGGUAGAUGAUGGACUUAUGGCGCAUUAGCUUGUUGGUAGGGUAACGGCCUACCAAGGCGACGAUGCGUAGCCGACCUGAGAGGGUGACCGGCCACACUGGGACUGAGACACGGCCCAGACUCCUACGGGAGGCAGCAGUAGGGAAUUUUCGGCAAUGGGGGAAACCCUGACCGAGCAACGCCGCGUGAAGGAAGAAGUAAUUCGUUAUGUAAACUUCUGUCAUAGAGGAAGAACGGUGGAUAUAGGGAAUGAUAUCCAAGUGACGGUACUCUAUAAGAAAGCCACGGCUAACUACGUGCUAGCAGCCGCGGUAAUACGUAGGUGGCGAGCGUUAUCCGGAAUUAUUGGGCGUAAAGAGGGAGCAGGCGGCACUAAGGGUCUGUGGUGAAAGAUCGAAGCUUUACUUCGGUAAGCCAUGGAAACCGUAGAGCUAGAGUGUGUGAGAGGAUCGUGGAAUUCCAUGUGUAGCGGUGAAAUGCGUAGAUAUAUGGAGGAACACCAGUGGCGAAGGCGACGAUCUGGCGCAUAACUGACGCUCAGUCCCGAAAGCGUGGGGAGCAAAUAGGAUUAGAUACCCUAGUAGUCCACGCCGUAAACGAUGAGUACUAAGUGUUGGGGGUCAAACCUCAGUGCUGCAG
rnacentral:rRNA from 1 species